UACGGAGGAUCCAAGCGUUAUCCGGAUUUAUUGGGUUUAAAGGGUGCGUAGGUGGCUUAUUAAGUCAGGGGUGAAAGACGGUAGCUUAACUAUCGCAGUGCCUUUGAUACUGAUGAGCUUGAAUGAACUAGAGGUAGGCGGAAUGUGACAAGUAGCGGUGAAAUGCAUAGAUAUGUCACAGAACACCAAUUGCGAGGGCAGCUUACUAUGGUUAAAUUGACACUGAGGCACGAAAGCGUGGGGAUCAAACAGG
rnacentral:rRNA from 1 species